AAAUUGAAGAGUUUGAUCAUGGCUCAGAUUGAACGCUGGCGGCAGGCCUAACACAUGCAAGUCGAACGGUAACAGGAAGCAGCUUGCUGCUUUGUUGACGAGUGGCGGACGGGUGAGUAAUGUCUGGGAAACUGCCUGAUGGAGGGGGAUAACUACUGGAAACGGUGGCUAAUACCGCAUAACGUCGCAAGACCAAAGAGGGGGACCUUCGGGCCUCUUGCCAUCAGAUGUGCCCAGAUGGGAUUAGCUUGUUGGUGAGGUAACGGCUCACCAAGGCGACGAUCCCUAGCUGGUCUGAGAGGAUGACCAGCCACACUGGAACUGAGACACGGUCCAGACUCCUACGGGAGGCAGCAGUGGGGAAUAUUGCACAAUGGGCGCAAGCCUGAUGCAGCCAUGCCGCGUGUAUGAAGAAGGCCUUCGGGUUGUAAAGUACUUUCAGCGGGGAGGAAGGUGUUGUGGUUAAUAACCGCAGCAAUUGACGUUACCCGCAGAAGAAGCACCGGCUAACUCCGUGCCAGCAGCCGCGGUAAUACGGAGGGUGCA
rnacentral:rRNA from 1 species